AUACGGAGGGGGCUAGCGUUGUGCGGAAUUACUGGGCGUAAAGCGCGCGUAGGCGGAUCGUUAAGUCAGGGGUGAAAGCCCGGAGCUCAACUCCGGAACUGCCCUUGAUACUGGCGAUCUCGAGUCCGGGAGAGGUGAGCAGAAUUCCUAGUGUAGAGGUGAAAUUCGUAGAUAUUAGGAGGAACACCAGUGGCGAAGGCGGCUCACUGGCCCGGUACUGACGCUGAGGUGCGAAAGCGUGGGGAGCAAACAGGAUUAGAAACCCUAGUAGUCC
rnacentral:rRNA from 1 species